rnacentral:rRNA from 1 species
AACGAACGCUGGCGGCAGGCUUAACACAUGCAAGUUGAACGUGAUUUAUUGGUGCUUGCACUAAUGAUGAAAGUAGCGCACGGGUGAGUAACACGUGGGAACGUACCUUGAAGAGGGGGACAACAGUUGGAAACGACUGCUAAUACCGCAUAAUGUCAUUUAAGGGCAUCCUUGGAUGACCAAAGCUUAAUGUGCUGAAAGAUGGUCUCGCGUCUGAUUAGCUGGUUAGUGAGGUAACGGCUCACCAAGGCGACGAUCAGUAGCCGGUCUGAGAGGAUGAACGGCCACAUUGGGACUGAGAUACGGCCCAG